AGCCUGGGCCUGGGAGUGUGCCAGGCAGUGGAGAUACAGUGAUAAAUGCUUGCUGAAGAGCGCUAAGGGACAAUGUCCAGAAAAAGAGCAGGCCUAACGGCAUCUUUUUAGCAAGUUUCCUGGCAGUAAAGUGAAAAAGGAUGAAUGACAGCAACUUAGUUUACUUGCAGCUUCCUGUAAAUUUAGUCAUCUGAACAAGAGGGGACUGAACUGUUUCAAAACAGAAAGCAAUUGUUUCAUGGACACUGGCCAGUCUACAAGCAGAGCACUCUCAUGGGGAGCACCAGAUGAGUUCCAGCCGCAGUUCUUUUAUAAGCUUUAAGUGCCUCAUGAAGACGCGAGGAUCUCUUCCAAGUGCAACCUGGUCACAUCAGGGCACAUUCAGCAGCAGAAGUCUGUUUCCAGUAUAGUCCUUGCUAUUCAUCUUUAAUUCAAUCUUUUCAUGGAACUUCCAGAGAAGAAGCCAUGGAUAGCUUUCCUCUUUUCAUUGGAAGAGAAAAAGUGAUGUAUCUGAUUAUUUUAUGUAUGAGAGGCCAAGACAGACAUAGGUAUGGAUCGCAGUAACAGCUCUCUUACGGGGUAAAGCUCUCUUAUGAGGUGAAGCUGGACUGGAUAAGAAAAGAAAACGAUGAACAUUCCCCUCCCCUCACAAAAUGCACACACAUUAACCUUCAGCAGACUAGUUGCUUUCUUAGAAAUUUUGUAGAUAGAAAUUUAUGUCAUCCAUUAACU
ensembl:lncRNA novel transcript, antisense to KCNC2